UGUGGCGUACGGCUCAGUAACACGUAGUCAACCUAGCCUGGAGACGUGGACAACCCCUGGAAACUGGGAUUAAUCCGCGAUAGGUCACUUCAUCUGGAAGGAGAGGUGGCCAAAGGGGCGCUGUGGGCUUCCACUUCGUUCGCUCCAGGAUGGGACUGCGGCCGAUCAGGCUGUUGGCGGGGUAAUGGCCCACCAAACCUGUAACCGGUACGGGCCUUGAGAGAGGGGGCCCGGAGAUGGACACUGAGACAAGGGUCCAGGUCCUACGGGGCGCAGCAGGCGCGAAACCUUCGCAAUGCGCGAAAGCGUGACGAGGUUAAUCCGAGUGGCUUCCGCUGAGGAAGUCUUUUGCCGACUUUAAAAAGGUCGGAGAAUAAGGGGAGGGCAAGUCUGGUGUCAGCCGCCGCGGUAAUACCAGCUCCUCGAGUGGUCGGGGCGAUUAUUGGGCCUAAAGCAUCCGUAGCCGGUUCUGUAGGUUUCCUGCAAAAUCCAAUCGCUCAACGAUUGGCCCGCAGGAAAUACCGCAGGACUAGGAGGCGGGAGAGGUGGACGGUACUCCACGUGUAGGGGUAAAAUCCUUUGAUCCGUGGAAGACCACCAGUGGCGAAGGCGGUCCACCAGAACGCGCUCGACGGUGAGGGAUGAAAGCUGGGGGAGCGAACCGGAUUAGAUACCCGGGUAGUCCCAGCCGUAAACGAUGCGAGCUAGAUGAUCCAGUCGUAAAUCACGACUGGAGUGUCGCAGGGAAGCCGUUAAGCUCGCCGCCUGGGGAAACGGUCGCAAGACUGAAC
rnacentral:rRNA from 1 species